CCCUUAGAUGUUCUGGGCCGCACGCGCGCUACACUGAUGCAUUCAACGAGCCUAUCCUUGACCGAAAGGUCCGGGUAAUCUUUGAAUCUGCAUCGUGACGGGGAUAGAUUAUUGCAAUUAUUAAUCUUCAACGAGGAAUGCCUAGUAGGCGCAAGUCAUCAGCUUGCGUCGAUUACGUCCCUGCCCUUUGUACACACCGCCCGUCGCUCCUACCGAUUGGGUGUGCUGGUGAAAUGUUCGGAUCGGCCGUUUGUCGCGGUUUCCGCGGCUCGUGGCUGAGAAGUUCAUUAAACCCUCCCACCUAGAGGAAGGAGAAGUCGUAACA
rnacentral:rRNA from 1 species